rnacentral:rRNA from 14 species
GGGUAGUCGUAGCGAAAGCGAGUCUGAAUAGGGCGUUGUAGUGGCAGGAUCUAGACCCGAAGCGGAGUGAUCUAUCCAUGGCCAGGUUGAAGCGACGGUAAGACGUCGUGGAGGACCGAACCCACUUCAGUUGAAAAUGGAGGGGAUGAGCUGUGGGUAGGGGUGAAAGGCCAAUCAAACUGGGAAAUAGCUCGUACUCCCCGAAAUGCAUUUAGGUGCAGCGUUGAUUUAUAGUUUUAUAGAGGUAGAGCUACUGAUUGGAUGCGGGGGCUUCACCGCCUACCAAUUCCUGACAAACUCCGAAUGCUAUAAAAUGUUAAUCAGCAGUGAGGGCAUGGGUGCUAAGGUCCAUGUCCGAGAGGGAAAGAACCCAGAUCAUCAGCUAAGGUCCCCAAGUGUAUGCUAAGUUGACAAAACGCGGUAAAACUGCAUUGACAGCCAGGAUGUUGGCUUGGAAGCAGCCAUUCAUUUAAAGAGUGCGUAACAGCUCACUGGUCGAGCGGUUUUGCAUGGAUAAUAAUCGGGCAUAAGUAUACCACCGAAGCUAUGACUUUGUCUUAUGACAAGGGGUAGGGGAGCAUUCUAUGGGCAUUGAAGGUGCUGGCGUGAGCCGUGCUGGAGCGCAUAGAAACGAAAAUGUAGGCAUAAGUAACGAUAAUGCGGGCGAGAAACCCGCACGCCGAAAGACCAAGGUUUCCCCAGCUAUGCUAAUCAGCUGGGGGUCAGUCGGGACCUAACGCGAACCCGAACGGGGUAGUGGAUGGACAAUCAGUUAAUAUUCUGAUACCUGCUCACAUUAAAAGUGACGGGGAUGAGG